AAACUCAAAUGAAUUGACGGGGGCCCGCACAAGCGGUGGAGCAUGUGGUUUAAUUCGAUGCAACGCGAAGAACCUUACCUGGUCUUGACAUCCACAGAACUUUCCAGAGAUGGAUUGGUGCCUUCGGGAACUGUGAGACAGGUGCUGCAUGGCUGUCGUCAGCUCGUGUUGUGAAAUGUUGGGUUAAGUCCCGCAACGAGCGCAACCCUUAUCCUUUGUUGCCAGCGGUUCGGCCGGGAACUCAAAGGAGACUGCCAGUGAUAAACUGGAGGAAGGUGGGGAUGACGUCAAGUCAUCAUGGCCCUUACGACCAGGGCUACACACGUGCUACAAUGGCAUAUACAAAGAGAAGCGACCUCGCGAGAGCAAGCGGACCUCAUAAAGUAUGUCGUAGUCCGGAUUGGAGUCUGCAACUCGACUCCAUGAAGUCGGAAUCGCUAGUAAUCGUAGAUCAGAAUGCUACGGUGAAUACGUUCCCGGGCCUUGUACACACCGCCCGU
rnacentral:rRNA from 1 species